ACUUUCAACAACGGAUCUCUUGGUUCUCGCAUCGAUGAAGAACGCAGCGAAAUGCGAUAAGUAUUGUGAAUUGCAGAUUUUCGUGAAUCAUCGAAUCUUUGAACGCACAUUGCGCCCUGUAGUAUUCUACAGGGCAUGCCUGUUUGAGCGUCAUUU
rnacentral:rRNA from 1 species